UACAGAGGUGGCAAGCGUUGUUCGGAAUUACUGGGCGUAAAGGGCGCGUAGGCGGCCAUCUAAGUCAGACGUGAAAUCCCCAGGCUCAACCUGGGAACUGCGUCUGAUACUGGAUGGCUUGAAUUCGGGAGAGGGAUGCAGAAUUCCAGGUGUAGCGGUGAAAUGCGUAGAUAUCUGGAGGAAUACCGGUGGCGAAGGCGGCAUCCUGGACCGACAUUGACGCUGAUGAGCGAAAGCUAGGGGAGCAAACGGG
rnacentral:rRNA from 1 species